rnacentral:tRNA from 1 species
GCCACCUUAGCUCAGUUGGUAGAGCGACCGCCUUGUAAGCGGUAGGUCGCCGGUUCGAAACCGGCAGGUGGCUCCA